AUUGAACGCUGGCGGCAGGCCUAACACAUGCAAGUCGAGCGGGGUUUUCGGACCUAGCGGCGGACGGGUGAGUAAUGCGUAGGAAGCUACCCGAUAGAGGGGGAUACCAGUUGGAAACGACUGUUAAUACCGCAUAAUGUCUACGGACCAAAGUGUGGGACCUUCGGGCCACAUGCUAUCGGAUGCGCCUACGUGGGAUUAGCUAGUUGGGGGGGUAAUGGCUCACCAAGGCGACGAUCCCUAGCCGGUUUGAGAGGAUGAUCAGCCACACUGGAACUGAGACACGGUCCAGACUCCUACGGGAGGCAGCAGUGGGGAAUAUUGGACAAUGGGCGCAAGCCUGAUCCAGCCAUGCCGCGUGUGUGAAGAAGGCCUUCGGGUUGUAAAGCACUUUCAGUAGGGAGGAAGGGUGUUGUGUUAAUAGCACAGCAUUUUGACGUUACCUACAGAAGAAGCACCGGCUAACUCUGUGCCAGCCGCCGCGGUAAGAC
rnacentral:rRNA from 1 species